UACAGAGGUCUCAAGCGUUGUUCGGAUUCAUUGGGCGUAAAGGGUGCGUAGGUGGCGCCGUAAGUCAGGUGUGAAAUUUCGGAGCUUAACUCCGAAACUGCAUUUGAUACUGCGGUGCUUGAGGACUGGAGAGGAGACUGGAAUUCACGGUGUAGCAGUGAAAUGCGUAGAUAUCGUGAGGAAGACCAGUGGCGAAGGCGGCGAUCUGGGAAGAUACUGACGCUGAGGUGCGAAAGCGUGGGGAGCAAACAGG
rnacentral:rRNA from 1 species